CACCUCCUCUCACACACGUGUGAUUCUUCACCCUUCUGACAUGGGAACAGAGAGGAAACAUGGCCAUGGGUCUGGGAAAACAGGCCUGCUUACCCUGCUGCAGAAGUGUGAAUUGGGUUAAUUUGAUAAUAUACAACAAAAGCCUUAAGUAAGGAUAUAUGCUUUGCCCCAGCAACUGCAUUCCUAGGCACGUAUUUGUAGGCAAUAGUCAGAGAGGGUUCAAAACCGCACUACAAGGGUGCUUAUGACACUGUUGCUCGUAACAGGAUCAGAACAAUGGAAAACCCCUCGACACCCACUGAUGGGUUGGUUAAUAAGUAAGCCCGUUCAAAUGACGCUGUGCAGCCAUGGGUGCCAGGCUUCAGGCCAAGUGACAACUGCUGUUCCUUUUCCCUAAAUCUCUGCCUGUUCUCCCCCCAGAACCUAAGAAUACAGUGCCAGGAAACGGCCAUUGGAGGCGCGUUUACUAGAGGAAGAAGAGCCAGGCAAAACGGUAAACCUGUCUGUGCCUCUAAUGCUCCGCUGAUAAACCAGCUGGGCUCACACCACACGGCCAGGCAGACUGUAGGCAGGACGUGAAAACGGAAGGGGCAAAGUGGCCGUGAACCUUUUAGCUGCAGCUGAUAGGACCAGGGGUGAGCACCUGUCUCCAGAGAAACUUAUAGAGGUUAGUGAGCUUGAUCAAUCAGAUUCUCUCUUGCAUAUGCACACCAAGAGUAUUUGGCAGUGGGCAUUUGAGAUAAAGCCCUUGUAGAAAGGGAGUUGGAGUUCAUGCCAGGGAAACCCCAAGCCACAUGCAAGACAAAAUUGGAGGGGAGAAGGUGGCCAGAGGAAGCAGAGCAAGAUGGUUUGCAAAGAGAAUAAAGCAGACCAGGAGUCGUUGAGCUGACUCAAACUAUGGUCCUAGCCAUUGCGGCUGAUGGGGCAACUUAAGAGGCUGGAGUCUGCCACUGGACAUGCCCUGGUGAAUGGAACAGACACCUUAGGGACUGGCCCCACUGCAGGGGCUAAACAAAAUCAGGGGUGGGUUCCUCAUGGCAGUCUGGGCAGAUGAGCAAUUGGCAGGGAGCUGGGUCCCUAGGCUGAGAGACAAGAACAGGCAGGAAGGGAAAAGGGAACUGACCCCAAGUCAAUCUAGGUUCUAAUCCUGCAAAUACUGGAUAGGGAUUCACCCAGUGGAUCCUAUAACUAGAACUGGGGGCCUAAGUCUUAGGCCUUAUCCUUUAAAGACUUACCGGUGAAAAACAUCUUUUAAAAAAACAGUAAAGAACAUUUUUGUAAGCAUCUCCAAAGGCCCCACACAGUUUGGGUCUUUAUUUAAAUGGGCAACUAUUACCAAACCAUUUCUUGCAAGCUUUGGAGGACUGGAACUCUAAUCCCAAUGUGCCUGGGACCUCUGUCUAACUCCAAUAAUACCUUACCCUAUUUAUAGCCUAUUCUUGGUAUUUGCAGUAGUUAUGUUCUGUAAGUCCCCUUAAACUCUGAAUUAGCAAGUACUGAACCAUUGCUUCUAGGGGAACUACAGGGUUAGGUUCAUGCAAGCCUCUGGUCACAACAUUUUCAUUGACCAGUCAAUAUAUAACCUUGUUGUAUGUGUUUUUCUGCUUAAA